rnacentral:rRNA from 1 species
AUUGAACGCUGGCGGCAGGCCUAACACAUGCAAGUCGAACGAGUGGCGUACGGGUGAGUAAUGUCUGGGAAACUGCCUGAUGGCGGGGGAUAACUACUGGAAACGGUAGCUAAUACCGCAUACCAUCGGAUGUGCCCAGAUGGGAUUAUCUAGUUGGUGGGGUAAAGGCUCACCUAGGCGACGAUCCCUAGCUGGUCUUAGAGGAUGACCAGCCACACUGUAACUGGGACACGGUCAAGACUCCUACGGGAGGCAGCAGUGGGGAAUAUUGAACAAUGGGCGCAAGCCUGAUGCAGCCAUGACGCGUGUAUGAAGAAGGCCUUCGGGUUGUAAAGUACUUUAAGCGGGGAGGCGUUACCCGCAGAAGAAGCACCGGCUAACUCCGUGCCAGCAGACGCGGUAAUUC